UUGAUCUCAAAUCAGGUAGGACUACCCGCUGAACUUAAGCAUAUCAAUAAGCGGAGGAAAAGAAACUAACAAGGAUUCCCCUAGUAACUGCGAGUGAAGCGGGAAGAGCUCAAAUUUAAAAUCUGGCAUGCCUCUGGCUGCCCGAGUUGUAGUCUGGAGAAGCGUUUUCUGUGUUGGACCGUGUAUAAGUCUCUUGGAACAGGGCGUCAUAGAGGGUGAGAAUCCCGUCUUUGACACGGACUACCAAUGCUUUGUGAUGCGCUCUCAAAGAGUCGAGUUGUUUGGGAAUGCAGCUCAAAAUGGGUGGUAAAUUCCAUCUAAAGCUAAAUACAGGCGAGAGACCGAUAGCGAACAAGUACCGUGAGGGAA
rnacentral:rRNA from 1 species